CGGGAGCGAGCAGCCGAUCGAUCCGAUUAAAGUCGAUUAGAGAGAAAUUAACACAAAGGAGAGCAGAGCUCGCGGUCCCCCGUCCUGAACCACGCGCCGAGAGACUCGAGACCGGGACGUGAACUUUAUCUCUGGACCCACGGAGCUCUAGCAAAAGAGGGAUUCGAUCAAAGAAGUGACCGAGCUUGUCGGCCUCCCCCAUGGCGAGGACCUUAUGGACUCAGUGCCUCAGAGAGGGGGAGGGCUGGCGAGAGACUGAU
ensembl:lncRNA